AUACGGAGGGUGCAAGCGUUACUCGGAAUCACUGGGCGUAAAGCGCGCGCAGGCGGGCUGAUAAGUUGGAUGUGAAAGCCUACGGCUCAACCGUAGAACUGCAUCCAAAACUGUCAGUCUAGAGUGUGGGAGAGGAAGAUGGGAUUAGUUGUGUAGGGGUAAAAUCCGUAGAGAUAACUAGGAAUACCAAAAGCGAAGGCAAUCUUCUGGAACACUACUGACGCUGAGGCGCGAAGGCGUGGGGAGCAAACAGGAUUAGAAACCCGGGUAGUCC
rnacentral:rRNA from 1 species